rnacentral:rRNA from 1 species
CCUACGGGUGGCAGCAGUGAGGAAUAUUGGUCAAUGGCCGAAAGGCUGAACCAGCCAAGUAGCGUGAAGGAAGAAGGACCUAUGGUUUGUAAACUUCUUUUAUAGGGGAAUAAAGGUAUCCACGUGUGGAAAUUUGUAUGUACCAUAUGAAUAAGCAUCGGCUAACUCCGUGCCAGCAGCCGCGGUAAUACGGAGGAUGCGAGCGUUAUCCGGAUUUAUUGGGUUUAAAGGGAGCGUAGGUUGUUUUUUAAGUCAGUGGUGAAAGUUUGUGGCUCAACCGUAAAAUUGCCGUUGAAACUGGAAGUCUUGAGUGCAGUUGAGGUAGGCGGAAUGCGUGGUGUAGCGGUGAAAUGCUUAGAUAUCACGCAGAACUCCGAUUGCGAAGGCAGCUUACUAAGCCGUAACUGACACCGAAGCACGAAAGUGUGGGGAUCAAACAGGAUUAGAUACCCUAGUAGUC